rnacentral:rRNA from 1 species
AUUGAACGCUGGCGGCAGGCUUAACACAUGCAAGUCGAGCGGAGAUGAGGUGCUUGCACCUUAUCUUAGCGGCGGACGGGUGAGUAAUGCUUAGGAAUCUGCCUAUUAGUGGGGGACAACAUUCCGAAAGGAAUGCUAAUACCGCAUACGUCCUACGGGAGAAAGCAGGGGAUCUUCGGACCUUGCGCUAAUAGAUGAGCCUAAGUCGGAUUAGCUAGUUGGUGGGGUAAAGGCCUACCAAGGCGACGAUCUGUAGCGGGUCUGAGAGGAUGAUCCGCCACACUGGGACUGAGACACGGCCCAGACUCCUACGGGAGGCAGCAGUGGGGAAUAUUGGACAAUGGGGGGAACCCUGAUCCAGCCAUGCCGCGUGUGUGAAGAAGGCCUUAUGGUUGUAAAGCACUUUAAGCGAGGAGGAGGCUACUCUAGUUAAUACCUAGAGAUAGUGGACGUUACUCGCAGAAUAAGCACCGGCUAACUCUGUGCCAGCAGCCGCUGUAACAC